GACGAACGCUGGCGGCGCGCUUAAUACAUGCAAGUCGAGCGAGAACCAGGCCUUCGGGCCUGGGGAAAGCGGCGAACGGGUGAGUAACACGUGGGUAAUCUGCCCUCGGCACUGGGAUAGCCCGGGGAAACCCGGAUUAAUACCGGAUAGCCUUUCGAGCCUUCGGGCUCGUCAGAAAAGGUGGCUUCGGCUUCCGGCCGAGGAUGAGCCCGCGGCGGAUUAGCUUGUUGGUGAGGUAAUGGCUCACCAAGGCUCCGAUCCGUAGCUGGUCUGAGAGGACGAUCAGCCACACUGGGACUGAGACACGGCCCAGACUCCUACGGGAGGCAGCAGUAGGGAAUCUUGCGCAAUGGGCGAAAGCCUGACGCAGCGACGCCGCGUGCGGGAAGAAGGCCUUCGGGUUGUAAACCGCUUUCAGGAGGGACGAAGCCACUCGGGUUAAUAGCCCAGAGGGUGACGGUACCUCCAGAAGAAGCCCCGGCUAACUACGUGCCAGCCGCCGCAGUAACAC
rnacentral:rRNA from 1 species